rnacentral:rRNA from 1 species
UACGUAGGGGGCAAGCGUUAUCCGGAUUUACUGGGUGUAAAGGGAGCGUAGGUGGUUCGGUAAGUCAGAUGUGAAAGCCCGGGGCUCAACCCCGGGACUGCAUUUGAAACUAUCGAACUAGAGUGCAGGAGAGGUAAGUGGAAUUCCUAGUGUAGCGGUGAAAUGCGUAGAUAUUAGGAGGAACACCAGUGGCGAAGGCGGCUUACUGGACUGUAACUGACGUUGAGGCUCGAAAGCGUGGGGAGCAAACAGG